GGAUAACCUACCCUAUGGUGGGAGAUAACCCCGGGAAACUGGGGAUAAUAUCCCAUAGUCUAUGGGACCUGGAAUGGUCCAUAGUUGAAAAGAUUUAUCGCCAUAGGAUGGGUCUGCGGCCGAUUAGGUAAGUUGUUGGGGUAACGGCCCAACAAGCCUUUGAUCGGUACGGGUUGUGGGAGCAAGAACCCGGAGAUGGAUUCUGAGACACGAAUCCAGGCCCUACGGGGCGCAGCAGGCGCGAAAACUUUACAAUGCGGGAAACCGUGAUAAGGGAACUCCGAGUGCCCGUAAACGCGGGCUGUCCAUCUGCUUAAAAAAACAGGUGAAGAAAGGGCCGGGCAAGACCGGUGCCAGCCGCCGCGGUAAUACCGGCGGCUCGAGUGGUGGCCACUAAUUACUGGGCUUAAAAGCGUCCGUAGCUUGGUUGUUAAAGUCUCUUGGGAAAAUCUGUCGGCUUAACCGACAGGCG
rnacentral:rRNA from 1 species